rnacentral:rRNA from 1 species
GACGAACGCUGGCGGCGUGCCUAAUACAUGCCAGUUGAGCGAUGAAGAUUGGUGCUUGCACCAAUUUGAAGAGCAGCGAACGGGUGAGUAACGCGUGGGGAAUCUGCCUUUGAGCGGGGGACAACAUUUGGAAACGAAUGCUAAUACCGCAUAACAACUUUAAACAUAAGUUUUAAGUUUGAAAGAUGCAAUUGCAUCACUCAAAGAUGAUCCCGCGUUGUAUUAGCUAGUUGGUGAGGUAAAGGCUCACCAAGGCGAUGAUACAUAGCCGACCUGAGAGGGUGGUCGGCCACAUUGGGACUGAGACACGGCCCAAACUCCUACGGGAGGCAGCAGUAGGGAAUCUUCGGCAAUGGACGAAAGUCUGACCGAGCAACGCCGCGUGAGUGAAGAAGGUUUUCGGAUCGUAAAACUCUGUUGGUAGAGAAGAACGUUGGUGAGAGUGGAAAGCUCAUCAAGUGACGGUAACUACCCAGAAAGGGACGGCUAACUACGUG